GCGCGGGUGGCUAAGCGGUACGGCGUCAGGCUGCAGACCUGAAAAUCGGGGGUUCAAAUCCCUCUCCGCGCU
rnacentral:tRNA from 1 species